GGCUCUUUAAGACAGUGUGAAGAAUUCUGGGAUGCCAGUGGAGUAGGAAGGUCGGCUGGCUGCUUUCGCUGCCUUUCUGAGCUGGCGGGCUCUCACUUUAGCAUCUGUCUCCCCAGUCUUCAUUGGUACCAUCCAUCAUGGUGGGGACGGCGUAGAAGCAGGAGCAUGAGGCCACUGCUCACACCGAGACAACAGCCAGCAAGCAGAGAGAUGGAUGCUGGUGUUCCACUCGUCUUCUGCAUUUCAUUUUGUUUCUGUCUGGGACCCCAGCCCAUGAAAUGCUGCCUGUGACAUUUAGGUGGCAUCUUCUCACUUUGAAUAACCCAACCUGGAAACGCCCUAACAGACAUGUCCAGAGGUUUGUCUUCUCGGUGACUCCGGAUCCUGUCAUGGACAAUGUUAAACCAUCUCACCCUUGAACCAAGAGAAGAGUUAGUGGUCUCUGUGACGGGGAGCAGUGAUGCCAGUGCUGUGAGGUGCAGUAGACAUGUGUGCAAGAGCCUCUCAGAAGGUUCCUUAUACUUCCACGUCCUCAUGUUGCGUUCUGGUGAUAUGGCCUAGGUCAUCAGAACCAUGGGAAACUCCAACGACCAGGAAGAUCGGUGUGGGUGGGUGCACAUCAGUACAGAGAGCAGUACACCCUCUCAGAGUCCCUGAGCCAUCUCGUCAGCCCCUGAAGUCAUUUUCUAAAAAUAAAAGAUUUGUUUAUUUCU